GACGAACGCUGGCGGCGUGCUUAACACAUGCAAGUCGUACGGUAAGGCCCUUUCGGGGGUACACGAGUGGCGAACGGGUGAGUAACACGUGAGUAACCUGCCCACAACUUUGGGAUAACGCUAGGAAACUGGUGCUAAUACUGGAUAUGUGCUCCUGCUGCAUGGUGGGGGUUGGAAAGCUCCGGCGGUUGUGGAUGGACUCGCGGCCUAUCAGCUUGUUGGUGGGGUAGUGGCCUACCAAGGCGGCGACGGGUAGCCGGCCUGAGAGGGUGACCGGCCACAUUGGGACUGAGAUACGGCCCAGACUCCUACGGGAGGCAGCAGUGGGGAAUAUUGCACAAUGGGCGCAAGCCUGAUGCAGCAACGCCGCGUGCGGGAUGACGGCCUUCGGGUUGUAAACCGCUUUCAGCAGGGACGAAGCUUUUUGUGACGGUACCCGCAGAAGAAGCACCGGCUAACUACGUG
rnacentral:rRNA from 1 species